rnacentral:tRNA from 2 species
AAGUAAAAAGUGGCGGCGCAAGUUGCAGUAGGACGAAAAUCCGUUGGUUUCACAGGACCGUGAGGGUUCGACUCCCUCUAUCCCCAACGAGACGCUUCAAUUGACUCAUUUCAAGUGGUUUGGAUUCACA